rnacentral:rRNA from 1 species
UGGUGGAGUGAUUUGUCUGGUUAAUUCCGAUAACGAGCGAGACCUCAGCCUACUAAUUGGUAAUGACAAUCUAUGAUUGUACGUUACAUCUUAGAGGGACUAUCGGUGAGUAGCCGAUGGAAGUUUGAGGCAAUAACA